rnacentral:rRNA from 1 species
AGUGAACGCUGGCGGUAGGCCUAACACAUGCAAGUCGAACGGCAGCACAGGAGAGCUUGCUCUCUGGGUGGCGAGUGGCGGACGGGUGAGGAAUACAUCGGAAUCUACUCUGUCGUGGGGGAUAACGUAGGGAAACUUACGCUAAUACCGCAUACGACCUACGGGUGAAAGCAGGGGACCUUCGGGCCUUGCGCGAUUGAAUGAGCCGAUGUCGGAUUAGCUAGUUGGCGGGGUAAAGGCCCACCAAGGCGACGAUCCGUAGCUGGUCCGCGAGGAUGAUCAGCCAAACUGGAACUGAGACACGGGCCAGACUCCUACGGGAGGCAGCAGUGGGGAAUAUUGGAGAAUGGGCGCAAGCCUGCUCCAGCCAUACCGCGUGGGUGAAGAAGGCCUUCGGGUUGUAAAGCCCUUUUGUUGGGAAAGAAAUCCAGCUGGCUAAUACCCGGUUGGGAUGACGGUACCCAAGGAAUAAGCACCGGCUAACUUCGUGCCAGCAGCCGCAGUAA